GACGAACGCUGGCGGCGUGCUUAACACAUGCAAGUCGAACGGAAAGGCCUUUUCGGAGGUACUCGAGUGGCGAACGGGUGCGUAACACGUGGGUGAUCUGCCCUGCACUCUGGGAUAAGCCUGGGAAACUGGGUCUAAUACCGGGUAGGACCGCACUUUAGUGUGUGUGGUGGAAAGUUUUUUCGGUGUAGGAUGAGCCCGCGGCCUAUCAGCUUGUUGGUGGGGUAAUGGCCUACCAAGGCGGCGACGGGUAGCCGGACUGAGAGGUUGGUCGGCCACAUUGGGACUGAGAUACGGCCCAGACUCCUACGGGAGGCAGCAGUGGGGAAGAUUGCACAAUGGGCGCAAGCCGGAUGCAGCGACGCCGCGUGGGGGAUGACGGCCUUCGGGUUGGAAACUCCUUUCGCCAGGGACGAAGCGUUUUGUGACGGUACCUGGAGAAGAAGCACCGGCUAACUACGUG
rnacentral:rRNA from 1 species